rnacentral:rRNA from 1 species
GAUGAACGCUGGCGGCGUGCCUAAUACAUGCAAGUCGAGCGAAUGGAGUAAGAGCUUGCUCUUAUGAAGUUAGCGGCGGACGGGUGAGUAACACGUGGGUAACCUGCCCAUAAGACUGGGAUAACUCCGGGAAACCGGGGCUAAUACCGGAUAACAUUUUGAACCGCAUGGUUCGAAAUUGAAAGGCAGCUUCGGCUGCCACUUAUGGAUGGCCCCGCGUCGCAUUAGCUAGUUGGUGAGGUAACGGCUCACCAAGGCAACGAUGCGUAGCCGUCCUGAGAGGGUGAUCGGCCACACUGGGACUGAGACACGGCCCAGACUCCUACGGGAGGCAGCAGUAGGGAAUCUUCCGCAAUUGACGAAAGUCUGACGGAGCAACGCCGCGUGAGUGAUGAAGGCUUUCGGGUCGUAAAACUCUGUUGUUAGGGAAGAACAAGUGCUAGUUGAAUAAGCUGGAACCUUGACGGUACCUAACCAGAAAGCCACGGCUAACUACGUGCCAGCCGCCGCGGUAA